UGAAUGUUGUACUCCUGAAUGUUGUGGAAACCACGUUAAUUUCAACCUAAACGGUGCGUACGUCAUGCCACGGCUUACAGAAAAUCAGCGUCUGGGCUAGGUAUGCUGGAGACUGGAAUGGUCUAAAAUAAAGUGGCCAGACAUUUUGGGGUCCAUCGAUGUCUUCUCUAUGCGGACAUAAUGGGAACACAAGAUAUUUGUCUCGGACUGGUCGUCCACGAGACGGUCAUCUGAGGAAUCGAUUCCAGACUGCCAGUUUGACUGCUCGGACCAUUCCUGGACUUACGUCCAAACAGUUGUUUUGUUCACUGACGAGUCGAGAUUUCAUCUGGCCAGUUCAGAUAGUAGUGCAAGGGUGUACCGACGUCGAGGUGAACGGUAUGCUGACCCGUGAGAGUUUCAAAGCCGACAGUUUCGUGGCGAUAGCGGUAUGGUAAGGCGGAGCAUCACAUCUCAUGGUCGGACGCAACUCUGACAGGUCAGCGAUCCAUGGAUGAGAUCAUUGGGCCUCAUGUGCAGCCGUUCAUUCAAGGAUAGAGACCCAACUUCACGCUACAGUAGGAUAAUGCUCGUCCACAUGUCGUUCGUGUUGUGACAGAUUUCUUGAGACAGGUAGGUGACGACAUGUAUCGAAAUGGCUCUCUCGUUUUAUUUAGUUUUGCUAGUUUUAUGUGUUUUCUUCUGUCGUCAAAGUUGUUCAGCUUUUCAUCAAAGGUGAUUUCUUCAAUAUGUGAAGAGCGUGGUGAACCGAUUGCGGUGUUUUCAGUGUUUCUAUGGCUUGAUAGUCCUACUCAUCAUAGCCGGACAGUUUGGCUUUGUUGACCGCCUUCAACUUUUGGAGUUCUGUGACUCUUCUUUGACGGGACAAUCUCUAAUAUAUGUUUCUGGGGGAUGUUUGAAAGACGAUGUUGCUGUCAAGAAUCACACGAGAGGCAAAAGAGGAGGUUUUGGCAAGGACAAUUCGUGCAAGGAAGAACAAACGGCCUUGAUGCUCUCAAAUGUGCAGUCGUUACGAAAACAACUAAACUGUUUCUCUGGACCUGUCCCCUAUCGAGUACGCUUGGGAGGAAAUGGAGAGGCGUUUACGUCAAGCCCAGAAUCAACCAUUGACGUUAGCUGAAUUGGGGCAAGCGUUGGUUCACACAUGGAACAACAUUUCCCAAGCUUUCUUCAAUCGAUUAGGAUCGUCUGUGCGUCGUCGUUGUCAAGCCUGCAUCAACUCCAAUGGUGGACACACAGGAUACUGAAUUUGUGAAUUUGUGACCUCUGACACCUUCUCUACGAGGGCGUCACGAUGCCUUGUGUCGAAUCAUAUGAUUUCGACAUUAUCCUGUCAGCAGUUAAACAGUGAUAAAGGAAAACACCACAAAUCAUGUUAUUAUCUGUUUGCAUUAGAAAUGGUACAACAUCAAAUAAUGCACAGUUACUUAAUUCCAGUAGUAUAUCUGUGAAUAAAAAUGCAGGCGUUUUGUUGGAAAUUGUUGUCGAUAUGUUACCCUCCUGAUAUCGUUUUAUCCAUUAGAAAUGUCCAUCAUUGCAGUAGAGGAUUCAUCAGAAACGGAUCUAAAGAUGAAUUACGGUAUCUUACAAAUCAAAAUAGAUUUUAAUAAACCGACAAACCCUUUUCAUAGCCAUACGACAUGCAUGAUGAAAUUAGAAUCCAUAGAACAAAUAUACCAUAAAGAAUUAAAAAGGUUGUCAAAUUUUGAUCAUUCAAAUACCUUUUCCCCUAAAAUGAGUUUCAGUGAAUUUCUUGUUCUAUCAUUUUGAAAUGUUCUACUCUUUGAAAUGUCAACAUGCGAAAAAUGGCCUACCCGACGAUUUGGUUAAAAAACCCAAAUAAUCAGUGUUUGUGUCCUGGGUCAUAACGGACGUAAUAACUGAACAUUGUUGAUUAUCAGUGAUUGUGAUCCGUCAAUGUUACAGGCAGUGUUACGAGAGGAUAUAUGACAUAUGGUGGAUGCAACGCAUGCACUAGUUGACAAUAUUUGAUCCAAUCUCUUGUGGUUCCGACAUAGGCGCAAGGUGUAAAACCCAUUAGCUGGCAACACUUCACUCUAGUGAUAGAAUACAUCUGUUUCAUAAUCAUCAGAGGCGUGAAAUAUUACGCUUAAGAACAUCCGUUCUUUUUCUCGAUUAUUGCACAAACAAUUUGUCAUUUGCUUAUUGAAAACAACUUCAUGUUAAACAGUAGCCAUCAUCAGAGUAUUUAAAAUGUUUGCGUCACGCCUCGUUUUAGCGAUAGUAAACGUGUGACGUCCGAAAACAUAAAUCCGACGAUAUAAAGAUGUAAUAGUCACUGGGCCGCCGUGAUGUUGCUGGAAUAUUGCUAAAAGCGGCGUAAAAAUAAACUCACACACUUUAAGUCACUGUCCAACUGAUCAUAAUGAUAAGAACACUAAGUCUGUUCUUUGUUGAAGUGUCCAGUUGAGUUGUUUCAAAAGUUUCAGAUGAAAGAAUCAGAGUUAGUGUUAUCUGUACGAAGACUACUGUCCAGUCAGUGUUCAGUUCAUUUGGUAAUGAACACGGAGAUUGGGUGUUAUUUAUAGUAUUAUUCUUUCAUUUUGUCAAAUUUAUUUUAAAUUGAUAUUUACUGUUAAAUAAAAGUUUUGAACAGA